rnacentral:rRNA from 1 species
ACGUACGCUGGCGGCACGCCUAACACAUGCAAGUCGAACGAAGUAGCAAUACUUAGUGGCAGACGGGUGAGUAACGCGUGGGAACCUACCUUUUAGUACGGGACAACGUUUGGAAACGAACGCUAAUACCGUAUACGCCCUCCGGGGGAAAGGUCAGCCGCUAAAAGAGGGGCCCGCGUCUGAUUAGCUUGUUGGUAGGGUAAUGGCCUACCAAGGCGACGAUCGGUAGCUGGUCUGAGAGGAUGAUCAGCCACACUGGGACUGAGACACGGCCCAGACUCCUACGGGAGGCAGCAGUGGGGAAUCUUGC